rnacentral:rRNA from 1 species
AUUGAAUGCUAGCGGGAUGCUUUACACAUGCAAGUCGAACGAGUGGCGGACGGGUGAGUAAUAUAUCGGAACGUGCCUAGUAUCGGGGGAUAACUACUCGAAAGCGUGGCUAAUACUGCAUACUAUUGGAGCGGCCGUUAGCGGAUUAGCUAGUUGGUGGGGUAAAGGCUCACCAAGGCAACGAUCCGUAGCUGGUGUGAGAGGACGACCAGCCACACUGGGACUGAGACACGGCCCAGACUCCUACGGGAGGCAGCAGUAGGGAAUUUUGGACAAUGGGGGAAAGCCUGAUCCAGCCAUCCCGCGUGUAUGAGAAGGCUUUCGGGUUGUAAAGUUCUGUUGGCAGAGAAGCGGUAUCUGCAGAAUAAGCACCGGCUAACUACGUGCCAGCAGCCGCGGUAAUAC